AUUGAACGCUGGCGGAAUGCUUUACACAUGCAAGUCGAACGGCAGCACGGACUUCGGUCUGGUGGCGAGUGGCGAACGGGUGAGUAAUGUAUCGGAACGUGCCCAGUCGGGGGGGAUAACGUAGUGAAAAUUACGCUAAUACCGCAUACGAUCUAUGGAUGAAAGCGGGGGAUCGCAAGACCUCGCGCGAUUGGAGCGGCCGAAAUCAGAUUAGGUAGUUGGUGGGGUAAAGGCCCACCAAGCCAACGAACUGUAGCUGGUCGGAGAGGACGACCAGCCACAAUGGAACUGAGAAACGGUCCAGACGCCUACGGUAGGCAGCAGUGGGGAAUUUUGGACAAUGGGCGAAAGCCUGAUCCAGCCAUUCCGCGUGCAGGAUGAAGGCCCUCGGGUUGUAAACUGCUUUUGUACAGAACGAAAAGGUUUCUACUAAUACUAGGAGCUCAUGACGGUACUGUAAGAAUAAGCACCGGCUAACUACGUGCCAGCCGCCGCCGUAA
rnacentral:rRNA from 1 species